CGUACGGAGGUUUCCUAGUGGCGAACGGGUGAGUAACGCGUUGGUGACCUGCCCCGAAGAGGGGGAUAACAGCUCGAAAGAGCUGCUAAUACCCCAUGUGGCCACAAGGGUUAGAGGCCUUGUGACUGAAGGAGUAAUCCGCUUCGGGAGGGGCCUGCGUCCCAUCAGCUAGUUGGUAGGGUAAUGGCCUACCAAGGCGAAGACGGGUAGGGGGCCUGAGAGGGUGGCCCCCCACAAUGGAACUGAAACACGGUCCAU
rnacentral:rRNA from 1 species